UGAGGAAAGUUCUGCACCCCAGAAAGUUAGAAACCACAUUGGCUGUGGUAAAGAAGGUCGGUCUGAGCAUGAGAGGAGAGGCCAAGAACAUGAAGAAACACAUCAACGGCACCGGAGGCAGCUGGAUCAAUCCAACAACGGAGGCCCACAUCAGAAAGUGCCCCGACGAAGUUCUGGAUCGCCCCCGCCAGGUGGACCACCCAUGGCCCACCCAAACUCGAGUAAUUACUACUGUUAGCGUUACCGAGUGCUAGGGCGGAGUAUUAAGACGCCAGCUACGACCCCGGUGUUGCUGACUUGCCGCCGCCGAUGUCCUUGAACACGGACGCGGUGUUGAGCGUUGAUUGGUCGUAGCGUUGGCUAGAUUUCCACACCGAGGAGUAGAUACCGAAGGGCGAAUGCUGGUUUAAUCCCAAAAUUCCUGUUGAAACUGCUUUGAAAGAAUCAACAUCUUUCAACGGUUCUGAAAUUCUCAAGGAAAGACUCGGAACACCAGAGGAAAACGCUUACCUUUUAGCGAGAGGUUGCAUGUGUUCACAAAAAUAAUGUGAUGGCAUUCACCACAUUAUGAGUUCUUUGCUUCUCGGAAAAACUGAGGGAGUAUUUGCUGCACCUAUUGAUCA